UACGGAGGGUGCGAGCGUUGUCCGGAAUCAUUGGGCGUAAAGGGCGCGUAGGUGGCCCAGUAAGCGUGCGGUGAAAGCUCGGGGCUCAACCCCGAGUCGGCCGUGCGAACUACUGGGCUGGAGCACUGUAGAGGCAGGCGGAAUUCCGGGGUGUAGUGGUGGAAUGCGUAGAGAUCCGGAGGAACACCAGCGGCGAAGGCGGCAUCCUGGACUGGUCCUGACACUCAUGAGCGAAAGCGUGGGGAGCGAGUCCGG
rnacentral:rRNA from 1 species